AUUGAACGCUGGCGGCAGGCCUAACACAUGCAAGUCGAGCGGAAGAAGGGAGCUUGCUCCUGGUUUCAGGGGCGGAGGGGUGGGUAAUGCCUGGGAACAUCCGUGGUAGUGGGGGCGAAGGUGCGAACGCGGGCGCACAUACGGCAAACGCCCUGAGGGCGAAAGGGGGGGAGCUGCGGAUCUCCGGCUCUCGGACGAGCCAAGGUCGGAUUAGCUAGUUGGUGGGGUAAAGGCCCACCAAGGCGACGAUCCGUAACUGGUCUGAGAGGAUGAUCAGUCACACUGGAACUGAGACACGGUCCAGACUCCUACGGGAGGCAGCAGUGGGGAAUAUUGGACAAUGGGCGAAAGCCUGAUCCAGCCAUGCCGCGUGUGUGAAGAAGGUCUUCGGGUUGUAAAGCACUUUUAUUUGGGAAGAAGGGCAGCAAGUUAAUACCUUGCUGUUCUGACGUUACCAACAGAAUAAGCACCGGCUAACUUCGUG
rnacentral:rRNA from 1 species